AGCAGAGAGUGAAAGUGAAAGUCAGCAGCUCCGUAUGGUGUGGAGGAGAAAACGAACCUUUUCAGGACUAAAACCCGAAUGAUGGAGGGAAAGGGAUCAGACUCACCAGAACCCAGCUGUGUGUCCAUGAAGAGUGACGGGUCAAUGAAACGCCCAAUUCUCUUCAGAGACAGAGACAGUCCUGCUGAUCUGAGUAAGCCAACUGGUGGCUCACUGUAAUGGUCAAAACUUUCUUGUAUUAAAUGUAAUGAAGAGAGAUCCUUGGGUGACUGCAGUACUAGCUGGAACUGACUCAUGGCAAUUCUUCACUCUGCUUCAUAUUGAUGGCUCCUUUUUGGACAGGCCUGUUGAAGAGUGGGCCGAAAAUGAUAGCUGUCUGAAAGGUAAAGAGAUAGUAGAUGCAUUAUGAGUGUCAAAUGACAGUGCUGAGAGAGGAGUCAAGCUUGCAGCAGACUUUCUGCAGUCUUCAAAGAAUGAGGACAAAUACCAACAGAUUUUGCAAGUGGUUGAAAAUGACAGGAAGAAUGUUCCAGACCAGCGUAAACGACAAAAGUGCCUAGAUCCGGAAACUUGGAGCUUAAUACUAGAUUAAAUGACUAAAUUAUUUUCUGUCAUUUUUGAUAUUAAGUCUUU